UACGUAGGGGGCUAGCGUUGUCCGGAAUCAUUGGGCGUAAAGCGCGCGUAGGCGGCCUCAUAAGUCCGUUGUGAAAGUCAAAGGCUCAACCUUUGAAAGCCGAUGGAUACUGUGAGGCUAGAGUCCGGAAGAGGCGAGUGGAAUUCCUGGUGUAGCGGUGGAAUGCGCAGAUAUCAGGAGGAACACCAAUUGCGAAGGCAGCUCGCUGGGACGUUACUGACGCUGAGACGCGAAAGCGUGGGGAGCAAACAGG
rnacentral:rRNA from 1 species